rnacentral:rRNA from 1 species
ACGUAGCUACGCGUGAGUUGACCGCCUGGGGAGUACGGUCGCAAGAUUAAAACUCAAAGGAAUUGACGGGGACCCGCACAAGCGGUGGAUGAUGUGGAUUAAUUCGAUGCAACGCGAAAAACCUUACCUACCCUUGACAUGGUCGGAAUCCUNGAGAGAUCUGGGAGUGCUCGAAAGAGAACCGAUACACAGGUGCUGCAUGGCUGUCGUCAGCUCGUGUCGUGAGAUGUUGGGUUAAGUCCCGCAACGAGCGCAACCCUUGUCCUUAGUUGCUACGCAAGAGCACUCUAGGGAGACUGCCGGUGACAAACCGGAGGAAGGUGGGGAUGACGUCAAGUCCUCAUGGCCCUUAUGGGUAGGGCUUCACACGUCAUACAAUGGUCGGAACAGAGGGUCGCCAACCCGCGAGGGGGAGCUAAUCCCAGAAAACCGAUCGUAGUCCGGAUUGCACUCUGCAACUCGAGUGCAUGAAGCUGGAAUCGCUAGUAAUCGCAA